AGACACGGUCCAAACUCCUACGGGAGGCAGCAGUGAGGAAUAUUGGUCAAUGGACGAGAGUCUGAACCAGCCAAGUAGCGUGAAGGAUGACUGCCCUAUGGGUUGUAAACUUCUUUUAUAUGGGAAUAAAACAGGGUAUGCAUACCCUCUUGUAUGUACCAUAUGAAUAAGGAUCGGCUAACUCCGUGCCAGCAGCCGCGGUAAUACGGAGGAUCCGAGCGUUAUCCGGAUUUAUUGGGUUUAAAGGGAGCGUAGGUGGAUUGUUAAGUCAGUUGUGAAAGUUUGCGGCUCAACCGUAAAAUUGCAGUUGAAACUGGCAGUCUUGAGUACAGUAGAGGUGGGCGGAAUUCGUGGUGUAGCGGUGAAAUGCUUAGAUAUCACGAAGAACUCCGAUUGCGAAGGCAGCUCACUGGACUGCAACUGACACUGAUGCUCGAAAGUGUGGGUAUCAAACAGGAUUAGAUACCCUGGUAGUCCACACAGUAAACGAU
rnacentral:rRNA from 1 species